GAAGCCAUGGUGAGGAUUAAGGUUUAGAUUAAAUUUAUCUUUCUCGUCUCUCAUAAUUUCCUUAUGCAGUACUGCAGAUGCAUAUUACUGUGCCAAUAACACAGCCCUCAUAGGAAGGAAAUAAUAAGCUUGGGGUUAGAAUGUGAUACUUUUUAUGCUUUUCACAGCACAUGGCCGAAAUGCUAAAAUAAACAUAGCAAUAGUUAUUUGUCCGUUAUUAUAGGACGUGUGGAGCUGGUAAGAGCAUGAACAAAACUUCGCCUUUCUGUUUAGGCAGAUAUAUGUUGCCGAAAGUUUGUGAUAUUGAACAUGUGGUUCGAAAAUCUUGACAUGCAUCAAGAUCAAACUUCC
rnacentral:lncRNA from 1 species